UACGUAGGGUGCGAGCGUUAAUCGGAAUUACUGGGCGUAAAGUGUGCGCAGGCGGCCGAGCAAGUCGAGUGUGAAAGCCCCGAGCUUAACUUGGGAAUUGCGCUCGAAACUACUUGGCUGGAGUGCGGCAGAGGAAGGUGGGAAUUCCAGGUGUAGCGGUGAAAUGCGUAGAGAUCUGGAGGAACACCGAUGGCGAAGGCAGGUCUCUGGGCCACUACUGACGCUGAGAAGCGAAAGCAUGGGGAGCGAACAGG
rnacentral:rRNA from 1 species